ensembl:lncRNA
GUGUCUCAUCCAGUCACCUUUCAGGGAUGACAAAAAUACAUCACUGCCAGUCUGGAUGGCUAGCCAAUCCCUGCAGCCCUAGCUUUGUGCUCUGUGAGACUGCCUGAACAGCAAAGCUCUCCUCUGCUCAGGGCAACCCAGGAGGUCACUUACAUCAGCAGCCUCUCCAUCCGCAUAAGGUAGUGAUGGUGAUUCUGACCCAGAGAACCUUCCGGAGACCUCAGCUUAGAGCCCAGCACACAGUAAGUUUUCCCAGAGAGAUGAUGCAGACGUAUGGCGAUGAGGAUACUGGGUAGAGGCCGUCACAGCAUUCUCCAGGUAAACCCGGCUCCCUUGUCUGUAAAGUGGGAGCAAGAAGCAGGCCAGCAGGUGGCUAGGAGAGUGCGCACGCGCAUGGUAACUUAAGGGAUGAAGGUGGGCCCUCUGCUGGCAGGCAGUCUGAGGGGCUGCCACGUCCCGCAUGCUCUGGGGCCAGGGUUGUCCUGGACCCUGGAGGUGAAGGUUAUCCCUCCAUGACCAGUCCUCACCCAGGUCCUCUGAGGAGAAGUGGGCUUGAGCACAGAGUCACCUCAGGCACAGAGCCAUCUCGACGAUAGAAGGAUGGUGGCACCGUGGACUGAUGACUGCUGCUGGUCAACAUAGGAAGGGAACGGGGGUGGGGGAUGGGGGCUAGAUUGGACUUUUGUACCACACAUUUGCAGAUCAUAAAAUUGUAUUUUGAGAAAGCAUUUUCAUCCAAUUCCCCCUUGUUCUGUUUCCAGGUAAAAAAAGAAAUUAUUGGUUAAUUUGAACUUUUACACUUUUAUCAAGGCUCAUUAUCAAAGGUUUGCCGUUGGAAUUUGUAGGAUUUAAAAAAAAAUCAAAUGGAAUGACAGCCUUUUGAGAUGAAGCCAUUCUGGACAGAGAGGCAGGCUCUUCCGGGUGCCCUGCCCUGGGAUGAGAAGGACUUGGGCUCCCCUUGUGGCCAAGGGCCCUCCUGUCACAGAGACUGUCCCCAGCUCCUGAGGACUCUCUGAGUCCAGCCUGCUCUGUGGUCACUGCGUGGCGGUGGAUCAGCCCAGGAUGGGAGGUGGUCAGGUUCCCGCAGCCCUCUCCCUACUCUCAGAGGCCCUUUGGCUUCUCUGGGACAGUCCCCUUUUCUGUUGAAUGGGCACUAUCACCAUCCUGAGUGGUUAUUGGUUAAUUUGAACUUUUACACUUUUAUCAAGGUUGUGAGGAUUCGGGGAAAUCACAAGCAAUAGCUUGCAGCUCAGCUGGCACAGGGUGGGCAUGUGGAGUCACAGUUCCCUUUGUCUCUUGUCAAACCUCUGUAGAUUUUAUUGAGCACCUACUGUGUGCACACCCCUCUGCAGGCCUGGCCCCAACCCUCCAGGGUCUUGGAUUUCUCCCGCUGUCAUGAAGGAGAAAGUGCAGGGUGAUGCUGACAAGAACACACCUACACAAGUGACUCCUACCUGCAGGCACUCUUCUCAGUGUCUAUGUGAAUUAUGUUACUGAAGCUUCCCGAUAGUCUUUCCCCCAUUUUAUAAGGAAAUUGAGCAUUGGGAGAGUAACUCACCUGAGGCCCCAAGGGUCAAGUGACAGAAUCAGGAUUCAAACUUGGGGCCACUCUCCUAAGUACCUCUCUGCACCUCCUGGUGCCAAAGAGACUGGUCCAAGCAUGUGUGCUAAUUAUGUUAAGCGGAGGGAAGGUUUGGGACUGAACUCAUGUGGGAGGCCCCCAUAAGGAUGGGUGGAUAGGUGGAUGGUCUGUGGGGAGUAACUUCACAGGUAGAUGGGUAGCGGCUGAGAGGACAAAGACACUUUCUGCCUCAGAAAGCCUUCUUCCAACUCAGAUGCUCUUUCUUGUGAAUUCAGAGAUGCUUUCCUGCAUUGCUCAUUUACACUGUAAACAUGUCUCAGCUUCAUUCUGAUACAGGGAUGGCAGGAUUAGACUCUGGUGAGGGCUCUUCCUGUCUGUGGAGGAGACAGACCUAAGCAGAUGGACAUGGUGUGAUGUGUUGGGAACUAUGACACUGGGAAACGAGGGGUUGUAGGAGCAGAGUCUAAGGAAGAAUACUCAGUCCAGAUAUGGAGAGGGGCAGGGAGCCUCCUGCAGGAGGUGACGUUUGGAAUGAGCCAUCAGGGAUGGGGAGAUGUGGGGAAGGGGAUGUGGGCUCAAGAUUUGAGGUAAAGGAAUUCCUGCCAUGGUGCAGUGGGUUAAGAAUCCAACUGCAGUUGGCUCAGGUCGCUGGGGAGAUGCUGGUGAGAUGGGGGAGAUGACCCUAGGCAGUGGGUUAAAGGAUCUGGCAUUGCUGCAGCUGCAGAGUAGAUCUCAGUUGCUCAGUUGUGGCUUGGAUUCAGUCUCUGGCUGGGGAACUUCCAUAUGCCACAGACGCUGCCUUAAAAAGAAAAAAAAA